rnacentral:rRNA from 1 species
CUACGGGACGCUCCAGUGGGGAAUAUUGCACAAUGGGCGCAAGCCUGAUGCAGCCAUGCCGCGUGUAUGGAGAAGGCCUUCGGGUUGUAAAGUACUUUCAGCGGGGAGGAAGGGAGUAAAGUUAAUACCUUUGCUCAUUGACGUUACCCGCAGAAGAAGCACCGGCUAACUCCGUGCCAGCAGCCGCGGUAAUACGGAGGGUGCAAGCGUUAAUCGGAAUUACUGGGCGUAAAGCGCACGCAGGCGGUUUGUUAAGUCAGAUGUGAAAUCCCCGGGCUCAACCUGGGAACUGCAUCUGAUACUGGCAAGCUUGAGUCUCGUAGAGGGGGGUAGAAUUCCAGGUGUAGCGGUGAAAUGCGUAGAGAUCUGGAGGAAUGCCGGUGGCGAAGGCGGCCCCCUGGACGAAGACUGACGCUCAGGUGCGAAAGCGUGGGGAGCAAACAGGAUUAGAUACCCUCGUAGUC